rnacentral:snRNA from 1 species
GCUGCACUUCGGCAGCCCAUAUAGUAACACUGGAACAGUACAGAGGAUAUUAGCACGGCUGCUGUGCAAGGAUAACACACAGAUUAACGAAGCAACCCAUGGAACA